AAGUCGUAACAAGGUUUCCGUAGGUGAACCUGCGGAAGGAUCAUUAACACAAAGUCACAGUUGUUUUCCCCCCAAUCUUGCAAAAGAAAGGGGUGAGGCAACAUGUCACUUUUCAACCCCCCUCUUGCAAACCUGUUUUUCAAACUUGAACCUUAGGGCUCAGUUUGUUUUCAUGUAUUCCCAGGCGUCAUUAGUUGGGUCGUUAUGACUCGAAGAAUGCGUCUGUUGGUUUCACUUUUUUCACCCCUUGAACUGUCUUGGACUGAAAUCUGAAGUGGUAUCUUGAAGUUUCUACGUGAAAAUUCAGGAUGCUCUUCUGCCAAAUAUCAAACGCUGAACAACUCUUAGCAACGGAUAUCUUGGCUCUC
rnacentral:misc_RNA from 1 species